rnacentral:rRNA from 1 species
UCUGCCCGCUGGCGGCGUGCCUAAUACAUGCAAGUCGAGCGAACAGACGAGGAGCUUGCUCCUCUGACGUUAGCGGCGGACGGGUGAGUAACACGUGGAAAACCUACCUAUAAGACUGGGAUAACUUCGGGAAACCGGAGCUAAUACCGGAUAAUAUAUUGAACCGCAUGGUUCAAUAGUGAAAGACGGUUUUGCUGUCACUUAUAGAUGGAUCCGCGCCGCAUUAGCUAGUUGGUAAGGUAACGGCUUACCAAGGCAACGAUGCGUAGCCGACCUGAGAGGGUGAUCGGCCACACUGGAACUGAGACACGGUCCAGACUCCUACGGGAGGCAGCAGUAGGGAAUCUUCCGCAAUGGGCGAAAGCCUGACGGAGCAACGCCGCGUGAGUGAUGAAGGUCUUCGGAUCGUAAAACUCUGUUAUUAGGGAAGAACAAAUGUGUAAGUAACUAUGCACGUCUUGACGGUACCUAAUCAGAAAGCCACGGCUAACUACGUG